rnacentral:rRNA from 1 species
UACGUAGGGUGCGAGCGUUAAUCGGAAUUACUGGGCGUAAAGCGUGCGUAGACGGUUACAUAAGUCGGGUGUGAAAGCCCCGGGCUCAACCUGGGAAUUGCAUUCGAGACUGCGUAGCUAGGGUGCGGAAGAGGGAAGCGGAAUUUCCGGUGUAGCGGUGAAAUGCGUAGAUAUCGGAAGGAACACCAGUGGCGAAAGCGGCUUCCUGGUCCAGCACCGACGUUCAGGCACGAAAGCGUGGGGAGCAAACAGG